AGUGAACGCGGGCGGCGUGCUUAACACAUGCAAGUCGAACGAGAACGGGUUAUAGCUUGCUAUAAUUGUCAGCUAAGUGGCGCACGGGUGAGUAAUGUAUAGGUAAUAUGCCUCUUACUAAGGGAUAACAAAUGGAAACGUUUGCUAAUACCUUAUACUCCUUAUUAACAUAAGUUAAUAAGGGAAAGAUUUAUUGGUAAGAGAUUAGCCUGUAUUGUAUCAGUUAGUUGGUGGGGUAAUGGCUUACCAAGACUAUGACACAUAACUGGUUUGAGAGGAUGAUCAGUCACACUGGAACUGAGACACGGUCCAGACUCCUACGGGAGGCAGCAGUGGGGAAUAUUGCACAAUGGACGAAAGUCCGAUGCAGCAACGCCGCGUGGAGGAUGACACAUUUCGGUGCGUACACUCCUUUUAUAUGAGAAGAUAAUGACGGUAUUAUAUGAAUAAGCACCGGCUAACUCCGUGCCAGCAGCCGCGGUAAUAC
rnacentral:rRNA from 1 species